UGGGGAAUUUUGGACAAUGGGCGAAAGCCUGAUCCAGCAAUGCCGCGUGUGUGAAGAAGGCCUUCGGGUUGUAAAGCACUUUUGUCCGGAAAGAAAUCCUUGGCUCUAAUACAGUCGGGGGAUGACGGUACCGGAAGAAUGAGCACCGGCUAACUACGUGCCAGCAGCCGCGGUAAUACGUAGGGUGCAAGCGUUAAUCGGAAUUACUGGGCGUAAAGCGUGCGCAGGCGGUUUGCUAAGACCGAUGUGAAAUCCCCGGGCUCAACCUGGGAACUGCAUUGGUGACUGGCAGGCUAGAGUAUGGCAGAGGGGGGUAGAAUUCCACGUGUAGCAGUGAAAUGCGUAGAGAUGUGGAGGAAUACCGAUGGCGAAGGCAGCCCCCUGGGCCAAUACUGACGCUCAUGCACGAAAGCGUGGGGAGCAAACAGGAUUAGAUACCCUGGUAGUCCACGCCCUAAACGAUGUCAACUAGUUGUGGGGAUUCAUUUCCUAGUAACGUAGCUAACGCGUGAAGUUGACCGCCUGGGGGAGUACGGUCGCAAGAUUAAAACUCAAAGGAAUUGACGGGGU
rnacentral:rRNA from 1 species